UGCGGAGGGAUCAUUAGAAAACGAGUUGCGAGACUCGAAAACCAUCGCGAACAUCACCUCGUCGUCGUUGCUUCGGCGGGCGGCCCCGCGAAGGGGCCCGCAAGGCCCGCGAGGGCGCCCGCCGGAGGAGCGUGAACACUCUGUUUUCUUAGCGCCUCUCUGAGUGGAUACAGCGAAAUGAAUCAAAACUUUCAACAACGGAUCUCUUGGUUCUGGCAUCGAUGAAGAACGCAGCGAAAUGCGAUAAGUAAUGUGAAUUGCAGAAUUCAGUGAAUCAUCGAAUCUUUGAACGCACAUUGCGCCCGCCAGUAUUCUGGCGGGCAUGCCUGUUCGAGCGUCAUUUCAACCCCUCAAGCCCCGCUUGGUGCUGGGGCCCUACGUGCGCCGUAGGCCCCGAAUUACAGUGGCGGGCUCGCCGCGAUCCCGAGCGUAGUAACACACCUCGCUCUGGGGCUCCGCGGCGGGUGCCGGCCGUGAAAACGACCAAAACACAAACGCAAGGUUGACCUCGGAUCAGGUAGGAAUACCCGCUGAACUUAAGCAUAUCAAUAAGCGGAGGAAAAGAAACCAACAGGGAUUGCCCCAGUAACGGCGAGUGAAGCGGCAACAGCUCAAAUUUGAAAUCCGGCCUCGGCCCGAGUUGUAAUUUGCAGAGGAUGCUUUUGGUGCGGCGCCUACUGAGUCCCCUGGAACGGGGCGCCAGAGAGGGUGAGAGCCCCGUAUAGUGGGACGCCUAGCCUGUGUAAAGCUCCUUCGACGAGUCGAGUAGUUUGGGAAUGCUGCUCAAAACGGGAGGUAAAUUCCUUCUAAAGCUAAAUACCGGCCAGAGACCGAUAGCGCACAAGUAGAGUGAUCGAAAGAUGAAAAGCACUUUGAAAAGAGGGUCAAAAGCACGUGAAAUUGUUGAAAGGGAAGCGCUCGUGACCAGACUUGCGCCGGGCCGAUCAUCCGGUGUUCUCACCGGUGCACUCGGCCCGGCUCAGGCCAGCAUCGGUUCUCGCGGGGGGACAAAAGCCCUGGGAACGUAGCUCCUCCGGGAGUGUUAUAGCCCUGGGCACAAUACCCUCGCGGGGACCGAGGACCGC
rnacentral:rRNA from 1 species